UUACGGUCAAAUCACGAUAAAAACACCGGUUCUGGUUCGAUUACCGAAGUUAAGCAUUGUAGAACCAGGUCAGGAUGGGGGACCGCUUGGGAACACCUGGUACUGUAAG